UGGUCGAUGAUGACGUGACCGCUGCGCAAUCUGAGAUCUGGGAACCACCAGGUGAUGGAGUUUGUGCUGAGAACGAUCUGAGACCA